rnacentral:rRNA from 1 species
CCUACGGGAGGCAGCAGUGAGGAAUAUUGGUCAAUGGUCGAGAGUCUGAACCAGCCAAGUAGCGUGAAGGAUGACUGCCCUAUGGGUUGUAAACUUCUUUUAUAUGGGAAUAAAAUGUUCCACGUGUGGGAUUUUGUAUGUACCAUAUGAAUAAGGAUCGGCUAACUCCGUGCCAGCAGCCGCGGUAAUACGGAGGAUCCGAGCGUUAUCCGGAUUUAUUGGGUUUAAAGGGAGCGUAGGUGGAUUGUUAAGUGAGUUGUGUAAGUUUGUGGCUCAACCGUAAAAUUGCAGUUGAAACUGGCAGUCGUGAGUGCAGGAGAGGUGGGCGGAAUUCGUGGUGUAGCGGUGAAAUGCUUAGAUAUCACGAAGAACUCCGAUUGUGAAGGCAGUAUACUGGACUGCAACUGACACUGAGGCUCGAAAGUGUGGGUAUCAAACAGGAUUAGAUACCCUGGUAGUC